UAUGAGGAAAUGACUCUACUUCUCUGUAGUGACCAGCAGGGGGCGACUCCUCUGCUCCCAUAGACGUCUAUGAGGAAAUGACUCUACUUCUCUCUUGAUUUAUUCCCUCAGUAAACAUUGUAAACAUGAGUUUAUAGUCUCAGUCUCUAGUUUCAAGUCUUCUUCAGCACAACAUGAUGUUCAUUUAGUGACUGAUGAUCCAUUUAGAGUCAAACAGACCAUAAAGGUGCCAAAAGGAAUUCUUCACAAAGUAUCUUCUUCCCGUUGUACUACAUAGCUUUAUUUGCCUGUUAUGGGGUUAUGUGGUUGACAGAAGGUCAGGACCGAGGAAGUCGGUCUACAUUCUGCUCUGGUCUGGAAUCACUUUCUCAUCCUCUGAGGCUGACAAAAGUCUGCAAUGAGUAUGAAGCGUUCUGAAUAUUAGGUGCCGAACGCCGUCUGAGCCUCGAGAUGGGAGAUGAAAAAAAGUGUCAAAUAGCGAUCUGAUAAAAUCCUGAUAAGGAAUCAAUUAGCUGCACCGGAUACAUCUACGCGCUUUAUCUCCACUAACUGUACACGUGUGCUGCUCCCACCUGCUCGCCCGCUUUCACACACCGGAAUCCUGAACAAAAACUAUCUUCUGGAGCCGUCAGAGCUCCGUCACCAUGGAGACCACACUGUCACCGACUGCACACACAGAGUAAUCAUCAUCUCAUCUUGGAUAAACUAAAUCACAAGUUUGCAUUUACAGUAAACCGACAAAUCACCUCAAUCCAGGCAGACCUGCACCUUCAGGCGCUGGCGUAGCACAGGAGCGCUAACGCUAAGACCGAGCGCUAACUCAGCGUGCAAUGGGUACGAAUGUACGGAGGCCACAUUGAGACACGCUCCGAUCUGUAACAAUGGGUUUCAGGGGGACGGGGAAAUGACAUCGUUAUCAUGAUGGGUUCAAAUGCAAUCAUGUCAUUUCUGAAAUUUGAAUAAAUCUUGUUGCUUGACGUUUUCACAUCAACAUAAAAUAGAUAUUAGUGAUGUCGUUUCUACUCCCACAAACCCUCAGCUGUAAUAAUACAUGAUUAGAACUACUAAUGUCUUUCUAAAUGUUGUUAGAAAUGAAUUAUUUGAAGGAAAUAAAAUAAUUUAUUUAUUAAUUUAUAAAGUUCUUCUGGAUUUAUUUAAUAACACGCUUACAUUUGAUAAAAGGAACAAUGUGAUGACGUGGUUGGACCACGACAAACUCCAAAUCCACCAAACCCGCCUGAACACAGCGUCGAUGACGAAGCUACCUGAUUGGCCAGCUGGGAUUCUAGGGGCGGGACUUAGUGAUAAGCUGAGUGGAAGCUUUUGGAUGAACAUAUGUGAUUCAAACGUUCCCAACAAUAAAUGGUGAAAUGUCUGCUGGUUACAAAAUGAAACUCCAAACUCAAGCAAAACGUCCACAAACCGACAGGUUACGUCGCUACGACCGCGUCCACUUCCUGUCCAAAGUCCUCGCUGUCUCUCGCUGAACUUCCCAAAGAAACAUUAGUUUAUUUUUAGGCUUCACCUUUAAACAAAAUGUUCUGAAUGAAUCUCAGUUCCCUCAGGUGAACAGUCCGUGCACGCACACAGACACACAAAUGACCACUUCAGAGGUUUCAGCUGUGUGGGGAUAAGAAGGCCUGGAGGAUCACACACACACACACACACACACACAGACACACACACAGACACACAAACGAACACACAGGACACACACACACACUAAUGCACACGGAUAAAAGCGAUGAACAGUCUGGUUUCUGUUCUGACGGGAAAGUCUGCGACUCAGUAAGCGAAAUGAAACGAAUACGGUCACUGCAGAGAGAAAAGAGAUGGAGUUUGCGGAUGCAGGAUAAGUGGGUGGAUGAAUGAGUGGAGAGUGAAUGAACGGAUGGAGAGCAGAUGGAUGGAGAGAGGGUGGAUGGAUGAGGGAUGUUUUGGUGGACGAAUGGAUGGAGGUGGAGGGAGAGUGAGAGGAUGGAGAAUGAAUGAAUGGAUGAAAGGUGGAUGAACAGAGAGAGGGUUGGUGGGUGGAUUAAUGGAUGGAAGACGAAUGGAUGAAUGGAGGGUUGGGUGGAGGAACAGUAGAGGGUGGAUGAAUAGCGGUAGUGGGGUAAUUACUCGCCUGUGACUGUGACUCAGCAGGGGGGGUCGAUGGUAGAGUAGAGCGAUAUACUGAGAUGUAAAUUACCCGUGUGUGUGUCAUUGAGCAACACUUUGUCCAGUGAAGAAGGUGCCGUGCUGCCUCGGUCCAUUCACUUUGUCGUGUGGGGGACCCGGCUAGUACGAGACGUCCCGUGCCCACAAGUCUCCUGGAACUGAUGGAGCACAACGCGUCCUUCAUCAGAUGCAGGUGACUGUCACGUUCUUCAAUGUGAGUCAUCAGACAUGAAAAAGAACAGAGGUUUGUCUGUGAUGAGAUCAAUGCAGAUUUAAUUCUGUUUGUUGUUGUUUUUGCACGGAGCACCGAAUGUCCUCUUGGGGAGAUUAGAUUUAUAUCCGUUUAAAAAAACAAUAACCUUUGUGUGUGACCUCAUUCCGAGCAGCGUCACAAGUUUUUAAGGUUGAAUAAAUCCUAAAACCAGGAAAUGAGUCUACAAUCGUUGAUGUAGUGUCAUGUGACCCUGGUCAUGUGACCGGGGUGGAGAUCCCUUAAAGCCUAACGUGAUGUCAUGUGACCCUGGUCAUGUGACCGUGGUGGAGAUCCCUUAAAGCCUAACGUGAUGUCAUGUGACUGUGGUCAUGUGACGUGGUGGAGAACCCUUAAAGCCUAACGUGAUGUCAUGUGACCGUGGUCAUGUGACCAUGGUGGAGAUCCCUUAAAGCCUAACGUGAUGUCAUGUGACUGUGGUCAUGUGACCGUGGUGGAGAUCCCUUAAAGCCUAACGUGAUGUCAUGUGACUGUGGUCAUGUGACGUGGUGGAGUUCAUCAUUGAUAAUUGUGUUGAUGAAGCAUACGUAUGAAUAUCAUAACAGAGAUUAUCUUCUUCAGUAAUCUCAGAUCCAAUCUGCUUUCUGUGGGAUGGAACCAGUUAACUUCCUGUUGGACUCCAUCAUCCCUGCAGCGCUGCAGCUUUAACUUCGGCGCAAAGUGUGUAAAUACAGUAAUGCAUCUUAUGUUUACAUAUGAGGCCCAAAUAGUCAACUGGAAUCAUGUGACCGGGGGGUGGUUGAGGGGGGGGCUCCUCAAACACGCUACUGAAAACAUUCCCAUCUGUGCUCCGAGCAAACAGGAGCCAAUGUAAUCUGCUGCUGAAGCCCGACUCGCACUGUUUAUGCCCAGCAGUGAAUGAUGCUGCGCGAUGUCUCGCUGGGGGGGGGGGUGAGGGGGGACGAGGGGGGGCAGGAAAGAUCAAACCUCGCAGAUUGGCCUUGGUUUCUACUCGCGAAUGAUUGAUUGCCAGCUAAACAACAUUACCAAUUUAAAUCUGCCCUCAGGUUCGUCAGCAACUGUUUCCGGACCGGAGGAGAAAUUGAUUGAAGCUGCAGCAACAAAAUGAAUCUGUUUUCUUUUUGCAUUAAGAUCAUGGAGGAGUUUUUAACCAGAGUGUAUGUAGAGCGAGGCGAGAGCCCCUCCCCUCCCCCCCGGGCCCCAGAGGCGAAUGCUACGCUAACACAGCGAGUCCGAGCGGCUCUGAACGGCUGAUAUUCGGGGACGUUCUGUGUGGAUUUACAUAGAUAUUCAUACCAGUUCCCUACAUUUCUAAACGAUUUGUUUGGACCCGUUUGUCUUGCGUUGCCAGUUGGGGGCCUCGUCGAAGGCCCCCACUCGCUGCUUUGAUGUGCGGACCAGCGAUGUGUGCUGAUGACCAGGAGGCGGGGCUUCAUUUCUGAUGCCAGACAUACAAAAACAUGGAUAAACGAAUUCAAACGAAUCAAAAGCAGGGCACUGCUGUGUGUGUGUGUGUGUGUGUGUGUAACCCCAAGACAUCAGAUAUCAGAAUCUAAACCUGGUGAGUCGACACCAGUAGUAAAUAUGAGCGCUUGUACAAGCCGUCAUUGGCGGACUAUGAGGACGCCGGAUGGCCUCUGAUUCAUGGAGGGAGAUCUCCACAAACGAGGGGGACAAAGUCGUGGAGGAAAAUACGGGACAAAUGUGUCCUUGAUGAAAAGCAGCAGUGUGGAUGCACGGGGCAAUAAAGUCUAUGAUACAUAAAUAAAGCAACCAGCGACUUCCACACACAAAGACGUGACUCUCCAGGUCGUCCACCACCUCCACCUUUAGAUACACAUGUAUUCAUAUCUAGUGAUGGAGGUGAUGUAUUUCUGCGCACACAUGCAGGUAUAGAAGUGACCUGGAGGUAUGGAUCAUCUGAAGCUGAGCCCUGCUGCUGUGGGUCAGAGGUCACCCUCGGGCCAUCCUUUGUUCUUAGAUGAGACACUGGAGAUGACUGUCAGUUACAAAGAGAGCAGUCAGGAGGAAGGACAACGAGAACAUGGACCACCGGGAAGGAGAUGAAAGCAGCCGAGCCGCUGAUCCUUCACCCGAAGCUCAAAGACGAUCGCUCUCACUCCGUCAGCCGGAUCAGCCAAUCAGCACAGCAUCAGCCCCCGUCCGGCCCCUCCCCCUGCGGCCGACACUGUCCUCUGGCUCAGAGUCAGGGGGGACGUGUACGAGAAGCUCCGCCCGUCCUCUUGAGACACUCAGCUACACAGUGCGUGAAAACGUCCCGAAUACACGUUUGAGUCGACCACUAAAGUUCAUACACAUGUUACCCCCCCCCUGACCCCCCCCAAGGAACACGGAGACUUCUGACCUUGAAUAUUUCUGUGACCCUCUCGACAGUGAUUUAUUCCGGGGGUCAAGACGCCGGCUUCGUGGAAGCAAUAAAGAUGCACAAAACAAGAAAAGACAGGCGCGACCCGCUCGCCCUCCGAGCCGCCGCUUCUGAUGGAGUCUGAAACCCAAUCUGUCAGGUGGGGGGCGAGGGACCAGGGACCACAACACACCAUCAGCAGCGCACAGAGGCAAAACAAACAAGAGGCAUUCAUCAUCGUCAGGCUGCACGGCGAAGACGCUCCGAGAGGCCGAUGUUCCAGAGAACGGAGGUUAAUGACACGCCGCCUCGCCGCCUGCCGUCGCAGGAGGAGACACCAGGUGAUGCGUGAAGGGGGGGAGGGGGCUUUAGAGAGAUGUCCCACGACGACAAGAGGUAAUUUCACACGAUAGACGUGUAUACACUGUAAAUGCGUUCAGCUUCUCGGCUGUAGUGUGUGUUCAGACAACGUUGGCUUGUCUGUGUGUCUGUGUGCGUGCGUGUUUGUGUGUGUGUGUGUGUGUGUGUGUGUGUGUCUGUGUGUGUUCCCACACUAAGAGGACAACAGUAAUUAAACGGGAUUUAAAGGGCACCCGAAGAUUCCCAUUUAGAAGUGACACCCUCUCUGUGAAACUCAUUACGGAACACUAACGGAGGCAUUAGCCAUCAGAUGGGGACAUGUGACCAGGGCAUCAAUCACCCGCCUCUCUAUUCAAAUGAUAAGCGCCGGCCUUCGGGUGACGGCGUCCUCCUGCAGCGCUCGUACAGAUCCUGAGAAGUCAGGUGGUACGUGACCGAGGUGAUAAUGAAACAGGAAGUACGAAGUGAAACGGCCCCCAAGGAGACUUCUGGGAGUCCGCUGUGGAUUCUGGUCACAUGACUCAGGUACCCAGACAAUGUUCUUUAACCUAAUCAAGUAUUUUACCAUCAUCUCAUUUCCUGAUUCAUUUAUUCACAAUCUAUUUCUUAAUUGAUUUCAAGAUAACUUCAUGAACCUUAUUUUACAGAGACACCUCAGUAAUUUCGUUGCCUACGUAACGAGCACCAAUAGACACGUGUAGGAUUAUCAGAGGAAACCAAGCAGUGACUUGCUUCAGGUCCUGAUCUUCUGUUGUACCUUCUCAGAAUAUCUAGGACUCCAUUGAGUAGAUUAAUCAUCUGGUCAAAGGGUGAAAAAAGACAAAGACAUGCCACAAUUUGACAGAUCACAGCUGAUUCCUCGGAUAGAGGAAAAGAAUGUCUUUGAUGAAGGUCAUUCAUGAAGGUCUUCCAUGAAGAUCUUCCACGCAGGUCUUCCAUGAAGGUCAUCCACAAACGUCAUCCAUGGAGGUCUUCCAUGCAGGUCAUCCUUGCAGUUCUUCCAUGGAGGUCUUCCAUGCAGGUCAUCCUUGCAGGUCUUCCAUGGAAGUCUUCCAUUCAGGUCUUCCAUGCAGGUCAUCCUUGCAGGUCUUCCAUGGAAGUCUUCCAUUCAGGUCAUCCUUGCAGGUCUUCCAUGGAGGUCUUCCAUGCAGGUCUUCCAUGCAGGUCAUCCAUGCAGGUCUUCCAUGGAGGUCUUCCAUGCAGGUCAUCCUUGCAGGCCCGAUCUCUGCUCCAUGAGCCACUGUUUAUCACCCCCCCCGUUUAUCAUCCUCUAUUCAAAUCACAAAGCGUGAAAUAAAACGUCUGUUAGUUUGCUCUAAACCCGCCGACCUGUGAUUAUAUUCUAUUCAAUGGUUUGAUCUUAUUUAUUAGAAGCGUUGAACCAAACGACCAAUCAGAAGACUUCACACUAGUGUGGCCAAACAAUUUGCUCUGCCUAUUAAAUACAGGAACUUCUCCAUGACAACCUCCACAGUGGUUACACACACACACACAGACACACACCCACACACAGCUCUAACAAAAAGGACAGACUUGUGACCUCUGUGUUGCCACCUCGCUGGGAAAUAGCCUAUUUCACAGGGGAUGAGAGGCUAAUCUGGCUGUAAUGACUAUUCUCGGCUCGGCAUCACCUCACACUGCACACGUGUAUAGUGUGUGUGUGUGUGUGUGUGUGUGCAUGUGCGCGCAUGUGAGUCAAAGGCUUCUGAGCAACUGUUUUCCACCUCCUGACCUUUGCCCUCUUCUUUCCCCUCCUCAUGAACGUCAUGUCAUGGAUGAAGAACGACGCAGAUUGAACCUGGCGUCCGAAUGUUGAACAAACAGCCGGACCGGGUGGGCAGGGGGUUGUGGGGGGGGGGGGCAUCGGUUCACGUUUAGCUUCCAGGACCACAGGUGGCGUGUUACCGGCUGGAUUUUCCCAUGAUGCUUCAGAGCUCCUCCAUGUCUGAAGCAACAACAAAUGUGUUAAGAGCAAAUCUCUUCCUCUGCAAACAAUAAAUGUUUUUUAGUUUUUGUAAUGGAACUAAAACACCUUUGAUUUAACAAGAAUAACCCAUGAGCCGAGCUUGGCUGGAGUGGGCGGGGCUUAACGAGCCAGGAUCUUUAUUGGUGGGUUCGGCUCCUGAACCGCUGGAGCAACGGGCCUCUUCUGUAAAAGGAUCCGUCCCAUCAGUCGUCGGCGGAGCUCACACAAAUCAACCGGUGGAUCUGCUUCUCGUCCUGAAUCCACAUCCGUCAAAGCAGCACAAAGGCGUUUUUACCUUUCUCUGCUUUGAAUACCGCCAGCAGAAUCGAUGCUUACCAACAAGGUUGCCAGGCACCAGUUGCUUAGUAACCACUGGGCCAUUGCUUUCCACUACAGAAACCACUCACUAAUUCUAUGUCAGAGCUAAAUUUAGAAGGCGCCUUUGAUUUAUACCCCCCCCCCCCCUUGCUGGAUUGACAGAAGUCGGCUGCACAGAAGUAGUCUGCCUCCGAACAGGGUGGGCGCGCUUGAUUUUCACCCCCUCAGCGCCGUCCAUCUGCUGGCCCUGAAAUCAAAAAGGGCUGCCAGCUGAUAGGAGCAGGUAGAGCCCCAUUAGGGCAGCUGAUUGGCUCUCAGGUGUGUCUGCUGCUGAUUGGAAGGUAGAGCCCCAAUAGGGCAGCUGAUUGGCUCUCAGGUGUGUCUGCUGCUGAUUGGAAGGUAGACAAGAAGGAAAAUAUCUUAAAUGUUAAUCCACCAGAAUUCUUUCCUGUGCAGCGAACGUUACCUGGAUUUGAUGGAAAUGGUCAAAGCGCCACUAAGUCACGGUACUUUUUGAAGAUGGUUUCUCUUUUAGUGAUGGGUUGAAUACCACUUGUUGUCAAUGUACCACAACGCUUUGACAGCAGUGACGUGACAAUAAUUGUGAUUGAAAAAGAAAGUCGAGUUGAACAAUUAGGCAGACGUUACGCCAAUUAUUUUCAAACCGUGUAUGUUUUUUCCCCCAAUGGCUUUCAAAAGCACAUCAAGUAAAACCACCAAAUGCAAAUAAAGGGUCACCAGAGAAACCACAGAAACAGGCAGUAAACACAGGGGUGAAAGCCUUAAACAGGCUAAAUUAAAUAUGGAGUUUUCACUCAAAUCUCUUUAGUUAUGAAUGUGUAUGUUAAGUUAUCGAUUCGUCCCCCAAAAAACUAAUAAACAAUCUUUUUUAUCCACUUUAGCAAGUAAUUAUCAUCCAAUCACUAAAUAUGUGUGGGCAACAAUAGAAAGACAAUAGUUUGUUGUCCAGAGAUGGAAAAAUAGUUAUUAAAUGUAUUUAUUUAAAGGUUUUAUUAUAAAUGUCCCAUCUCUCUUUUACAUAAAUAACAUAUGAGUAUGUCAGAAAAGAGACAAAACAAAUAAACUAAAACGAAAUAUUAAGUCUAAGUAUUGUUGACAUGGAGCGACAGGAUUAAAUAACAAAGUCAUAAGAAUGAAUUUUUAACACAUGAUCCAAUAAUAUGGCUCGGAAGGUCUCGGCUGGUCAGGAGGAAGCUCACAAAAGAACCGGCGCUGCAACGAGGCUGCACAGCGCCGGGAGGACGGGGGAGGACGGGGGGAGGAGGGAAGAGGACGGGGGAGGACGGGGGAGGAGGG
ensembl:lncRNA